rnacentral:rRNA from 1 species
CCUACGGGAGGCAGCAGUGGGGAAUAUUGGGCAAUGGGCGCAAGCCUGACCCAGCAACGCCGCGUGAAGGAAGACGGCUUUCUGGUUGUAAACCUCUUUUAAGAGGGAAGUGCAGUAGACGAUACCUACUGAAUAAGCUACGGCUAACUACGUGCCAGCAGCCGCGGUAAUACGUAGGUGGCAAGCGUUGUCCGGAUUUCCUGGGUGUAAAGGGCGUGUAGGCGGGCUGACAAGUCAGAUGUGAAAUUUAGGGGCUCAACCGCGGAACUGCAGUUGACACUGUUGUUCUUGAGUAUCGGAGAGGCAGGCGGAAUUCGUGGUGUAGCGGUGAAAUGCGUAGAUAUUACGAGGAACACCGGUGGCGAAGGCGGCCUGCUGGACUGCAACUGACGGUGAUGCGCGAAAGCGUGGGGAGCAAACAGGAUUAGAUACCCCGGUAGUC